AAACAACAGGCUGCAUGGAUCCAGUGCUGGGCCCGGGGUCAGAGGACAGAAACUGCGAAGGGCGGUCUCAAGUGAGGCUGCCGAUUCCGGUCCCUGAAGGCCUUGGACCAGGGCACAGAGGAGGGACUGCUGGCUGCAGGAGGGCCCUGUGACCUCAUGCUGCUCCUCACUUCACCUCCUUCCCUUGGCUUCCACGCUUCCAUUGCUUCCGACCUCGGUGUCCCCGUCUUCUGUCUCCUCCACUGGCUCUUCCUCCCAGCCUUUCUGUGUCGGAGGCUCCUGGAUCCAGCAUGGGUCCCAUCCUCUUUCCUUCCUGCCUUCUCAUGGCUUUAAAUGGCCUCUAGACGUGGGCGGCGCCCAGAUGUGAGCUUCAGCCCAGACUUCUCCCUUGCACUCCAGCCUCGUACCCAGGAGCCCACCUGAUUCAUGGAUUUUUAUCUCCCAUACAUCUUGAGCUUAGCACGUCCAAAACAGACUCUCGUUCUCCCCCAAAUCUUCUAUGCCCCAGGUCUUCUGUAUCCCAGGGGAUGGCAAAUCAUUCCUCCAGUUGCCCAGCUGGAAACGCUGUAGUCAUCCUUGAUUCUCUCUUUCUCUCACACCCCAUAUCCAAUUUUCAGACAAUCCUGCUGGUCCCACCUUCAAAGCAUAUCCAGAAUUCGGCCACUUCCCACCACCUCACUCUAUUGCCCUCGGCCUGCAUCAUGGCAAUGGCCUCCUACCUGGUCCCCACCACGCAGCAGCAGAGAACUAUUUUAAAAUGUGAGACCCUGUCACUACCCUGCUCCAAGCCCCUCCAAGGCGUCCCCACCUAGCCCAGAGGGAAAGCCACAGUCCUUACGGAAGCCGGCAAGGCCCUGCUCAAUCCGCUCCCCUGCGCCCACUAUCUCUGACCGCAGCUCCCGCCUCCCUGUGCCCCACCAGCCACCCGGGUCUCCUCAAGGGUCACAAAACACACCAGGGUCCCUGCCUCAGGAAGGCGAGGAGUUGUGUCUGUUCUGUUGACUGCCCUGUCCCCGGCGUCUGGGGCCGCGCCUGUCCGAGGGUCAGGUCCGACGCUGGGCAUGUGGGGACUCAGUGAGCGGACCCUGGGAAAGACGGCAGCUCGGGAAGGACAAGUGGGGGCCGUCGCGGUGGAGUGGUGCCCGGGGCCGGCCCGGGGCGCGCGACUGCACGGGCAGCGUGGGGCGGCCGCGCGGGGAAGUGGCGCCCGGGAGGCUGCGGGGCACAGACAUCGCGGAGCCCCAGGGACUGCCGCCGAGGGGACCGCGGGAGCUGCGAGGGCAAGAAAUCCUAAAAGCGCGCGGCCGCGGUGGGCCAGGAGAAGGGACAUUCCGGAGACGGCUCUCGGGGGAAGCCACGGGACUCGGGCGUGA
rnacentral:lncRNA from 10 species